rnacentral:rRNA from 1 species
AUUGAACGCUGGCGGCAGGCCUAACACAUGCAAGUCGAACGAGUGGCGGAAGGGUGAGUAAUGUCUGGGAAACUGCCCGAUGGAGGGGGAUAACUACUGGAAACGGUAGCUAAUACCGCGUACCAUCGGAUGUGCCCAGUAGGGAUUAGCUGGUAGGUGAGGUAACGGCUAACUUGGGCGACGAUCCCUAGCUGGUCUGAGAGGAUGACCAGCCACACGGGGGCUGAGACAAGGUCCAGACUCCUGCGGGAGGCAGAAGUGGUGAAGAUUCCGCAAUGGGCGAAAGCCUCAUGCAGCAAUGCCGCGUGUUGGAAGAAGUCCUUCGGAUUGUAAAGUACUGUCAUCAGAGAAGCGUGACCCAAUUAGGAAGCACCGGCUAACUCCGUGCCAGCAGCCGCGGUAAUAC